UGUACUUGUGUGGUCCAACGACAGACUCAUCAAGUGGUUGAAUUCCAUAGGACUGAAAGAUUAUUCUCACAAUAUAUUAGAAUCUGGAAUACAUGGAGCUCUUAUUUCACUCGAUGACAAUUUUGACCAUAAUUCUCUGGCUUUCACACUUCAAAUUCCAACUACAAACACUAAAGCUAGACAACUCCUGAAAAAGGAGUAUGGUAAUCUUCUUCUACAAGGUACAGAUAGAAAAGCAGAUGAGGCCUCUAGACAUCCAAACUACUCUGUGUCAGUCCCUAACAAUAUGCAAGGGGAUCGUCUUGUGUGAGAAGUGACCAGAAGUGCCAAGUUGGUAUUGAAGCAGUUAGUUAUUUCAGCUUCACAGCAGUGAGUGCCAUGUUCAGAAUAGAAGAACUUCAAAACUUACAAAUUACCAACUGCUGCUUCCAAGAAAUAUAAAUUUUGCAAAGUUGAUAUAUUGUUAGACUUGUAUAUUUGCAUGUAUAUUGCUCAGAAUCAGCAAAGUUAGGUCGAGAAAACCUCAUGCCAAAGAAAUUUAAUCACAUGCAACAUUUUACUCCAUCUCGUUUACUGUAUAAUAAAAUGAAUUUGUAGUAAUAUGAAAAAAGUUUAAUAACACAAAAUAUUAACUUAAUAAUUGUUAAGAUGCUUCCUUGUGAAGCCAAUGUACAUCUUUCAACAUUUAUAUCGAAUCACAACAGAGGAAAAAGGUCUCUUUCCUGCUUCUUUAUGUAAUUAGCUCAUAAAGCUGAUGUAUGUUGCUUAGCAUUCAUCUUGAACAACAACAGAGAAAGAAGGUCUCUUUUUUUUGUGUGAUAAGAUCAUGAAGCCAAUUCAUGUUGUUUAACAUUCAUCUUGAACGACAACAGAGAAAGAAGGUCUCUUUCCUGCUUCUUUGUGUGAUAAACUUAUGAAGCCGAUGCACGUCAUUCAACAUUCAUCUCAAAUGACAACAGAGGCAGAAGGUCUCUUUCCUAUUUCUGCUAAUCUUUCAGGCUAAGUGGGUUGUUCUAUUUAAUGAGAUACACAUUCAAUAGAAACUGUUAACUGUUUCUUAUUGUGUAAUGACAAACCUAAUGAUUUAGUUAUUAUACUUCUACAAACCUGUAUAGACACAACCAUAUUUUUAAAGUGCUUUAAAAAUGGUCACAGUGGAGUAGAAAGGGGAACCUACCUUCUAGUAAUUUUUGAUAAGAGGCAAUACAUCUUUUGCCUUAACCCCACCCCAAUAUUUAAAAAAAAACCUAUGUUUUAGAGAGAGACCAGUCUUGUGGUGGUUGUGGAAUUUAAAUAACUGUAAUUUCUGUUGUUUAGAGGAGGCAAUGACACUCAUCUGCUGUCAGUCUGUGCAGGUCCUUGUGCUGGAGACAGUGUCACAAUUGGCUACUGUUGCCCUCCCCCUUUUAACAAUGUUUAACAACUUUCUACUCCACAGGACCACUGACUAUUCCAUAGACAAAUGUUGAAUAGAUAAACUGGGAUGUUGCUGUUAAAUUUUCUAACAGUGUUAA